AGUAGGGAAUAUUGCGCAAUGGAGGAAACUCUGACGCAGCGACGCCGCGUGGGUGAUGAAGGCCUUCGGGUCGUAAAGCCCUGUCGAAUGGGAAGAAACAUUUUAUGGCUAAUAUCCAUAGAACUUGACGGUACCAUUAGAGGAAGCACCGGCUAACUACGUGCCAGCAGCCGCGGUAAUACGUAGGGUGCGAGCGUUGUUCGGAAUCAUUGGGCGUAAAGCGAGAGUAGGUGGUUUGCUAAGUCGGGUGUGAAAUCCCUGGGCUCAACCCAGGAAGUGCAUUCGAAACUAGCUCACUUGAAGAUGGUAGAGGAAGGUGGAAUUCCAAGUGUAGAGGUGAAAUUCGUAGAUAUUUGGAGGAAUACCGGCGGCGAAGGCGGCCUUCUGGACCAUUCUUGACACUGAGACUCGAAAGCGUGGGUAGCAAA
rnacentral:rRNA from 1 species